GUGAAAAUGGACAAAUAUAGCCAAGGCUUUGUGGUUGAGUUUCUAUUUCCUUUGAUAAUUUUGAGAAGCUGCCAAGGCUUUUGGUGUGGGCAUGGGAGGAAACCUUGCCGCUUUUACUUCAAAGUAGUUGUUUUCAUGGUAAAUUUUAAUCAAUCUCAUGCUCAAGUACAUGGAUAGGAGAAUCGUCUAAUACAGGUUUCUUUUAAAUGUGCUAAUAGUAGGAGCUUCUUUACUAUUCUAUUUUCUGCAGGUUAUUUAUAGCUGCUGACAGCGAUGAUAUCUCCACAGCUAUACAUUUCAUCAAUAAGGCAAGGCCAUGGAUUACAUUGAUGGCCGUUGGCUGGGAAUAUGGUGCAAACAUGUUGACGAAGUACUUGGCAGAAGCUGGAGAGAAUACAUCGCUUACAGUUGCCAUGUGCAUAGACAAUCCAUUUGACUUAGAGGAGGCUACAAGGUCCUUUCCUUAUCACAUGGCCAUUGGUCAGAAGUUCACUGGUGGACUGAUAGAUAUUCUAAGAUCUAAUAAGGAAACCCCCAAAUCAAAAACCAUAGCCCCUUCCUAUCAAAAAAGAAAAAAAAGAAGAAGAAGAAGGAAAACCAUAGCUUCUCAUCUGUUUCUCUCUCCAGUCUCUAUGCUUCGCCUUUAGUGCACCUUCUCCUUUGUCUCUGCUCCUAAUGAUGAAUUGGGAUUGAAGGGAGCAAAAUCAAGAUGCCGUGGACGUCCUCUUUUGAUUCAAAUUCGUAAAAGCUUCCUUACUCUCUUUCUCUCUCCAU